GACGAACGCUGGCGGCGUGCUUAACACAUGCAAGUCGAACGGAAAGGCCCUGCUUUUGUUGGGUUCUCGAGUGGCGAACGCGUGAGUAACACGUGAGUAACCUGCCCUUGACUUUGGGAUAACUUCAGGAAACUGGGGCUAAUACCGGAUAUGAGCUCCUGCUGCAUGGUGGGCGUUGGAAAGUUUCGGCGGUUGGGGCUGGUCUCGCGGCUUAUGCGCUUGUUGGUGGGGUAGUGGCUUACCAAGGCUUUGACGGGUAGCCGGCCUGAGAGGGUGACCGGCCACAUUGGGACUGAGAUACGGACCAGACUCCUACGGGAGGCAGCAGGGGGGAAUAUUGCACAAUGGGCGGAAGCCUGAUGCAGCAACGCCGCGUGCGGGAUGACGGCCUUCGGGUUGUAAACCGCUUUGGCCUGUGACGAAGCGUGAGUGACGGUAAUGGGUAAAGAAGCACCGGCUAACUACGUG
rnacentral:rRNA from 1 species